rnacentral:rRNA from 1 species
GUACACUCCUACGGGAGGCAGCAGUGGGGAAUUUUGGACAAUGGGCGAAAGCCUGAUCCAGCAAUGCCGCGUGUGUGAAGAAGGCCUUCGGGUUGUAAAGCACUUUUGUCCGGAAAGAAAUCCUUGGCUCUAAUACAGUCGGGGGAUGACGGUACCGGAAGAAUAAGCACCGGCUAACUACGUGCCAGCAGCCGCGGUAAUACGUAGGGUGCGAGCGUUAAUCGGAAUUACUGGGCGUAAAGCGUGCGCAGGCGGUUUGCUAAGACCGAUGUGAAAUCCCCGGGCUCAACCUGGGAACUGCAGUGGUGACUGGCAGGCUAGAGUAUGGCAGAGGGGGGUAGAAUUCCACGUGUAGCAGUGAAAUGCGUAGAGAUGUGGAGGAAUACCGAUGGCGAAGGCAGCCCCCUGGGCCAAUACUGACGCUCAUGCACGAAAGCGUGGGGAGCAAACAGGAUUAGAUACCCGGGUAGUCCCA